AAUAAGUUUACUUUUUUAGUUUUUGGAUAUAACCUUUGACUCUUCGUUUUAUUUGAAAUUGUUUGGACGAUUAAUUAUUUUAUUGUAAUUAAAUGAUAAAACAUAAAUACUAUUUUAUGGAUGACUAAAUUUUUUGAGUUUUUAUGUAAAAUUUUCAAAUAAAACCGAUAGUUAACGUUGGACACAGAGAUC
rnacentral:pre_miRNA from 1 species